CGGCGUGCUUAACACAUGCAAGUCGAACGAGGUGAUUGAAAGCUUGCUUUUGAGAACCGAGUGGCAAACGGGUGAGUAACGCGUAGACAACCUGCCGACAAAGAUGGGGACAACAGUCCGAAAGGACUGCUAAUACCGAAAUGUUGUGCAAGCUCCGCAUGGAGGAUGCAUUAAAGAUGGCCUCUACUUGUAAGCUAUCGCUUUGCGAUGGGUCUGCGUCUGAUUAGUUAGUUGGUGGGGUAACGGCCUACCAAGGCAACGAUCAGUAGCCGGUCUGAGAGGAUGAACGGCCACAUUGGAACUGAGACACGGUCCAGACUCCUACGGGAGGCAGCAGUGGGGAAUCUUCCGCAAUGGGCGAAAGCCUGACGGAGCAACGCCGCGUGAGUGAAGAAGGUCUUCGGAUCGUAAAGCUCUGUUGUCGGGGACGAAUGUACCUUUUGUGAAUAAUGAGAGGUAAUGACGGUACCUGACGAGGAAGCCACGGCUAACUACGUG
rnacentral:rRNA from 1 species